GAUAUUCAACUUCCUUAAAUUUGGAACCACAACACUCUCUUCUCUUCAUAAUUCUCACUUCAUCAGUCAUCACUCCUCAACUAGCUCCUCGAAUCAGAAUGAAUCAAUCCGAGCAGAAUUCCUUUUCCGUGGAAAAACCUUCACAGGCUUCAUCAGAUCCCUACACACCGCCGCCGCCGAUUGGUUAUCCUACUAGAGAUGCGAUGGUGGGUGAUCCUCCGGCAGCAGCAGUGGAGACUAAGUCCAAGGACGUCGAGGAAAAAAUCAAAAUAUUAGAUGGGGUUAGGAAAUGUCUCGGUGAUUGUUUUCACAUCUUUCCGAAAAUAGUUUCAGCACUUUCAUCAUGCACAUGUUAAAUGAGACUUCUGAUGAGACUGAAGUCGUUUACCACACCAGAACAACAUCACGUAAUGAAAGAUCCAUCAAA